GGAGGCGUGUCCGAACUGGCUAAGGAGCCGGUCUCGAAAACCGGUGGGCCGUUGAGGCCCUUGUGGGUUCGAGUCCCACCGCCUCCG
rnacentral:tRNA from 1 species